UUAGAAUCACAUGCAGAAAAUUUGAUACUGUUCAAGCAUCUGAGAGUCUUAAAAGUGGAAUUAUCACCAGUGAUGUUGGAGACUUAACUUUAAGCAAGAGGGGACUACGAACAUCAUUUACAUUUAGGAAAGUGAGGCAAACACCUUGUAACUGUAGUUACCCGUUGGUCUGUGAUAGCCAGAGGAAAGAGACUCCCCCCUCAUUUCCAGAGAGUGAUAAAGAAGCCUCACGGCUGGAGCAAGAGUACGUCCAUCAAGUUUAUGAAGAGAUUGCUGGGCACUUCAGCAGCACAAGACAUACCCCUUGGCCGCACAUUGUGGAGUUUUUGAAGGCUUUGCCAAGUGGUUCAAUAGUGGCUGAUAUUGGAUGUGGUAAUGGAAAGUAUCUUGGCAUCAA
rnacentral:lncRNA from 1 species